rnacentral:piRNA from 3 species
CGGCCUUUUGGCUAAGAUCAAGUGUA